rnacentral:tRNA from 1 species
GUGGUGGCUCAGUGGGAGGGCGCUGGCCUGGCAUGCCUGAGGCCCUGGGUUCGAAUCCUCAGCACCACA